rnacentral:rRNA from 1 species
CAAGGAGUCUAACAUGUGCGCGAGUCAUUGGGUUGACACUAAACCUAAAGGCGCAAUGAAAGUGAAGGUCCCGCCUCGUGCGGACCGAGGGAAGAUGGGCCGCGCUGCUGUGCGGCUCCGCAUUCCCGGGGCGUCUCGUUCUCAUUGCGAGUUGAGGCGCACCCAGAGCGUACACGUUGGGACCCGAAAGAUGGUGAACUAUGCCUGGCCAGGACGAAGUCAGGGGAAACCCUGAUGGAGGUCCGUAGCGAUUCUGACGUGCAAAUCGAUCGUCGGAGCUGGGUAUAGGGGCGAAAGACUAAUCGAACCAUCUAGUAGCUGGUUCCCUCCGAAGUUUCCCUCAGGAUAGCUGGUGCUCGAACGAGUCUCAUCCGGUCAAGCGAAUGAUUAGAGGCCUUGGGGCCGAAACGACCUCAACCUAUUCUCAAACUUUAAAUGGGUGAGAUCUCCGGCUUGCUUAAAACAUUUUUGAAGCCGCGAGAUUAAUUUUCUUGGAUCGGAG